AUUGAACGCUGGCGGCAUGCCUUACACAUGCAAGUCGAACGGUAACAGGUCUUCGGAUGCUGACGAGUGGCGAACGGGUGAGUAAUACAUCGGAACGUGCCUAGUAGUGGGGGAUAACUACUCGAAAGAGUGGCUAAUACCGCAUGAGAUCUACGGAUGAAAGCAGGGGAUCGCAAGACCUUGUGCUACUAGAGCGGCCGAUGGCAGAUUAGGUAGUUGGUGGGAUAAAAGCUUAACAAGCCGACGAUCUGUAGCUGGUCUGAGAGGACGAUCAGCCACACUGGGACUGAGACACGGCCCAGACUCCUACGGAAGGCAGCAGUGGGGAAUUUUGGACAAUGGGCGCAAGCCUGAUCCAGCAAUGCCGCGUGCAGGAUGAAGGCCUUCGGGUUGUAAACUGCUUUUGUACGGAACGAAAAGCCCCGGGUUAAUACCCUGGGGUCAUGACGGUACCGUAAGAAUAAGCACCGGCUAACUACGUGCCAGCAGCCGCCGCCG
rnacentral:rRNA from 1 species